rnacentral:rRNA from 1 species
UACGGGGGGGGCAAGCGUUGUUCGGAAUUACUGGGCGUAAAGGGCUCGUAGGCGGCCAACUAAGUCAGACGUGAAAUCCCUAGGCUCAACCUAGGAACUGCGUCUGAUACUGGAUGGCUUGAAUCCGGGAGAGGGAUGCAGAAUUCCAGGUGUAGCGGUGAAAUGCGUAGAUAUCUGGAGGAAUACCGGUGGCGAAGGCGGCAUCCUGGACCGGCAUUGACGCUGAGGCGCGAAAGCGUGGGGAGCAAACGGG